rnacentral:tRNA from 1 species
GGGGGUGUAGCUCAGCUGGUAGAGCACUUGCUUCGCAUGUAAGGGGUCUGCGGUUCGAAUCCGCACAUCUCCACCA